GACGAACGCUGGCGGCGUGCUUAACACAUGCAAGUCGAGCGGAGCGGCGAACGGGUGAGUAACGCGUGAGUAACUGCCCCCCUCUCUGGGAUAACAGUUGGAAACGGCUGCUAAUACCGGAUAGUGGGGGAUGCCUCGCGUCCUAUCUGCUUGUUGGUGGGGUAGUGGCCUACCAAGGCGACGACGGGUAGCCGGCCUGGGAGGGCGACCGGCCACAGUGGGCUGAGAUACGGGCCAAACUCCUACGGGGGGCAGCAGUGGGGAAUAUUGCACAAUGGGGGAAGCCAUGAAGCAGCAACGCCGGGUGCGGAAGGACGGCUGUCGGGUUGGAAACCGCUUUCAGCCAUGACGCGGUAGUGGCAGAAGAAGCACCGGCUAACUACGUGCCAGCAGCCGCGGUAAUAC
rnacentral:rRNA from 1 species